rnacentral:rRNA from 1 species
GACGUAGGGCGCGAGCGUUGUCCGGAUUUAUUGGGCGUAAGGAGCUCGUAGGCGGCUUGUCGCGUCGUCCGUGAAAACCCACAGCUCAACUGUGGGCUUGCGGUCGAUACGGGCAGGCUAGAGUUCGGUAGGGGAGACUGGAAUUCCUGGUGUAGCGGUGAAAUGCGCAGAUAUCAGGAGGAACACCGGUGGCGAAGGCGGGUCUCUGGGCCGAUACUGACGCUGAGGAGCGAAAGCGUGGGGAGCGAACAGG